rnacentral:rRNA from 1 species
CAGUCGCCGCGGGAAUACAAGGGGUGCAAGCGUUAUUCGGAUUGAUUGGGUGUAAAGGGUGUGCAGACGGCUUAUUAAGUCACUUGUUAAAUUCUUCGGCCUAACUGAAGGUCUGCAAGUGAUACUGAUGAGCUAGAGGGUGGAAGAGAGAAGUGGAAUUCUCGGAGUAGCGGUAAAAUGCGUAGAUCUCGAGAGGAACACCGAUGGCGAAGGCAGCUUCUUGGUCCAUUCCUGACGUUCAUACACGAAAGCGUGGGGAGCAAACAGGAUUAGAUACCCCCGUAGUCCCUGUCUCUUAUAC